CUUGCCUGAGAAGAAAGACGAAGUUGAGGGUGAAUUCGGGCCAAUUGUGUGCUAGGGAGGUCUGGGAAACGUGAAGGAACCGGAUACAUUUUCAGUGUUGCCAACUUGCCAGAAAGAAAACAUCUUGCUCCUCUGCCUAAGAGAAGUAUGAAAAAUGCAGAAAUCAACAGGUCUCAGCUAUAAGAUGAAUAACCAAGGGCACAAUCCACCACAAUACUCAUGUUCAAGCAUUUUUGCCCUGCUGCUGUUCAUUUCAAUAGGAGUUCCACAGAAGAAUCUUCCAUUGGCUUGUUAUUUAUAAUUAUUUAUGCUGUACUGUACAUGGGUGGAGAAAGAGGGCAUGCAGGCUUGCCUCGUGACGUGCAGGACGUGGGAUCAGGGAGUGAUGUCCACUUCUCUUGCUUCUCCACAAAAGCACUCUUUGCUGCCAGGAUUACGUCCCUGAAGGCUACAUAACCCUCAGGGACAUAUUCCUGGCAACAAAUAGAGCUUUUGCAGGGAGGAGAGAGAAGCUGAACAUCACUUCCUGAUUCCCACGUGCUAUGAGGCAAGUCUGCAGCACAGCUCGUGUCCUGGCUGCCUAGGAGGUUGGACCUCUUGCCUCACCAUCAUAAGGCUGUGGAGAAGGUGGGCUCGUAUUUAUAUAUCAAUUACUCUUUAUAAUAUGUUUCACAGCCUCAAUAUAUAUGAUACAGAUGAAAAUCUAGUGCAAUUGUAUUCACCGAUAAUGUACCUAUUGAAUCUUAAAUUAAUAACUUUUUUUUUAAAGAAUCAAAUGUUUCCUGCCAAGAUCUGUUUUCCUUUCCUUGCAAAAAGAAAACCACCAUAUCAGGGGGAGCAAGACUUUAACCCACGCCUUUGACUAUGAGGCUGGUUUUCUGUUUGCAGAGAAGGUUUAAACAUAGGGGAACACACAAAAAAAUGACACCCCCCCCCGAAGUGGUGCAGUCCAUUCUACCACCAUUUCAUUCUGCUGCAUGCAGAGAUGACAUAUCACUUCAGUCUCCAAUCCAGACUGGGUACCAGGAUGGUAGCCAUACAUUCUGCUGAAGGGUGUGGUGUAUUAUUAGAGACAUACCUCAAAUAAAAACGUCAUGCUGUGCUUUCUCUGUGCAAAUGUAAAUCCACAAUAGCUCUUAAAGGUAAUGGGAAAUUGAACACUUGAUGUCACUGUUGCUCUCUGCAAAUAAAUAUGAAACAUUUAUCUGACACUGGGAAGAAAUGUUUCCAGGGUGGAGAGCUGAGUGUUCCACCCUACUUCUUCAUCCGGAACCUUUAUUUCAUCUGGGACUCCAUCAUAGCUAGAGAAGAUCCACCGGGCUGCAGUUUAUCACAGUCACUUGCUGAUCUAUCAUCUGUAGCAAUAACAAAUGUGUCCCCCAUGAAACGUGCAUUGGAUCACAUCUGGUUUUGCCUAUGUGUUAUUUAUGACAGCUCAGAUGUUGACUCGGUGCAACAGCCGAGGGAGGUAGAUGUGCCACAUGGCGAGUAAUAUACUGCAGGUUCUGUCAGUGGAUACGCCU